rnacentral:rRNA from 1 species
UGGGGAAUAUUGGACAAUGGGCGAAAGCCUGAUCCAGCAAUGCCGCGUGUGUGAAGAAGGCCUGCGGGUUGUAAAGCACUUUAAGCGGGGAAGAAAGGCGGGAGGCUAAUACCCUCUUGCACUGACGUUACCUGCAGAAUAAGCACCGGCUAACUCCGUGCCAGCAGCCGCGGUAAUACGGAGGGUGCGAGCGUUAAUCGGAAUUACUGGGCGUAAAGCGCGCGUAGGCGGUUUGUUAAGUCAGCUGUGAAAGCCCUGGGCUCAACCUGGGAAUGGCAGUUGAUACUGGCGAGCUUGAGUGUGGUAGAGGGGUGUGGAAUUUCCGGUGUAGCAGUGAAAUGCGUAGAGAUCGGAAGGAACACCAGUGGCGAAGGCGGCACCCUGGACCAACACUGACGCUGAGGUGCGAAAGCGUGGGGAGCAAA